GAUGAACGCUGGCUACAGGCUUAACACAUGCAAGUCGAGGGGAAACGACGGGGAAGCUUGCUUCCCCGGGCGUCGACCGGCGCACGGGUGAGUAACGCGUAUCCAACCUGCCUCUGACUGAGGGAUAACCCGUCGAAAGUCGGCCUAAUACCUCAUGGCAUCGGCUGCGGGCAUCCAACGACGAUUAAAGAUUUCAUCGGUCAGGGAUGGGGAUGCGUCUGAUUAGCUUGUUGGCGGGGUAACGGCCCACCAAGGCUACGAUCAGUAGGGGUUCUGAGAGGAAGGUCCCCCACAUUGGAACUGGGACACGGUCCAAACUCAUACGGGAGGCAGCAGUAAGGAAGAUUGGACAAUGGGCGGGAGCCUGAACCAGCCAAGUAGCGUGCAGGAUGACGGCGCUAUGGGUGGUAAACUGCUUUUAGGCGGGGAUAAAGUGAGGGACGUGUCCUUCAUUGCAGGUACCGCAUGAAUAAGAACCGGCUAAUUCCGUG
rnacentral:rRNA from 1 species